CAGUCGCCGCGGUAAUCCGAAGGGUGCAAGCGUUACUCGGAAUUACUGGGCGUAAAGCGUGCGUAGGUGGUGGUUUAAGUCCGUUGUGAAAGCCCUGGGCUCAACCUGGGAAUUGCAGUGGAUACUGGGUCACUAGAGUGUGGUAGAGGAUAGUGGAAUUUCCGGUGUAGCAGUGAAAUGCGUAGAGAUCGGAGGGAACAUCUGUGGCGAAGGCGACUAUCUGGGCCAACACUGACACUGAGGCACGAAAGCGUGGGGAGCAAACAGGAUUAGAUACCCCUGUAGUCCCUGUCUCUUAUAC
rnacentral:rRNA from 1 species